UGACAGCAGGAAGUGACCUCUGACCUGCUCGAUGUCGAUGUUCUGGUGUCCGAGGUGAGAGCGAGGACACACCUCGUCUUCAUCAUCGUCAACGUCAUACGAGCCGCCGCUACAUACACACAUACGGCCUUGUAUAACUGUACAUCACAGGACCCCAUAAGUGAAGUGUGUGUGUGUGUGUGUGUGUGUGUGUGUGUGUGUAUGUGUGUACCAUUGGCAGUUCUGUCCCCCGGUCACCAACAGUGAAACAACUGCCCCUGUGUUUCUGUUCAGAUAAUCACAGAGGGGCUGAAACAGAGAAUUCGCCUCCUCACAACCACCAAUCAGAGCCUGAGAUGGACAACAGGAAACACAUCACACCCUUACACAGCUGCUUUAUAUCUUUCCCUGCAGUAUGGAUAUAUACCUACUCAGACAGGCCACACCCACAAGAAACAAAGACGGGAAAUGGACGAGGGAAAGUGUUCAUAACAUAAACGAGACACAGCCCAUGUGUAAGUGAUGUGGAGUUUUCACCUGUUUGAUGGACAUCAUCAUGUCCUUGAACUCCAACUGAGUGACCACCAUCAGCACCUGAUCUUCCUCAACCACCCUACAGUCUUCAUCCUCAGUCUACACACACACACACACACGCACACACACACACACGAGUCAGUGUGUGUGAGGCAGUGAGAAUUUACUGAUUUACUAUGAAAGGUUUUGUAGUGCAGUAUGAACGCAUUUGUACUCAGCGACUCUUACUGGAGGAGGUCAGGAACUGCUUGGUGGCAGUGGCAAUCACAGAGCAUGAGACGUUUAGGUUUAUGAUGGGUUAUCAGCAGUAAUGACAGGCUGUGCCUGUCAGAGAGAGACACAGAGGAAGAGAGAGUGAGAGAGAGAGAGAGAGAGAGAGCGAGAGCGAGAGAGAGAGCGAGAGAGAGACAGGUGAGGGAACAACUGCACAGCUAUAAUGUAAGUGAGAACAGGAAGGAACUCAUCUCUCAGAUGUUUCACGACAUUAAAUCUAACAAUAAACCGUUAAAACGUGCGACGUCUCGUUCAUUAAUAAAUUAAAUACUGUAAGUGUUGGCCAAUCACACGGUCUGGAGCGU